AAUAAGGCUACUUCCCUUUCAGACUCUUUCCAGAGAGAGGUUAAAUGCUUCACUGCAUCUCUUCUAAAGAUCACCUCAGUGAGAAAUGAAUAAUAUGUUUUUUGGAGCAAUUGUUAAACUUGGUCUUUGUGUCACUGUUUUCUCCGCAGUACUAUUUUUGGACUUUGAAGUGGGAACGCUGUCAAUUUUAUGAGCAGGCCGAUGGCAUCAUGUGUAAAGAAAUGACAUCGUGUAUUGUAUCUUUGUGCUAAAGACAAAAGUUUAUAUUUUGUUUUUAUUUACUUUAUACUGUAGGUCUGGAAAUGCAAAGACAGGUUUUGGAUGAGGAGCAUUACGUUUUUCACCAGGAUUUACAUGUUAGAAGAAAGAAACAGAGAUUGAAAGAGAGAUUUACCAGAAGUCCCAAAGAUUGAAGCCAUUUAAGGAUUCAAAACAAAAUAAAACAUUACAGAGAAUCGCCAAACACAUUGAAGAAUUCAGAGGUGGCAGUGAAGCUUUUCACAGCAGCCUGUGGUUGAUUCAGUGCGUCGAGUGGUGAGAACUGACGGAGGGUCUCGACUUGAUUUAAGGUUCCUGGUAUCUGCGAGCAGCUGGCCAGUUGCAUUCAGACGAUCAAUCCAUCCACCGCCCAGGCCCGGCAGAUUGAAGAAACAUCGCACUGGGCACCGUGUGCCUUCCCGUGAAGGGCCCCUGUGCUCCAAUCAACAUAAUCUGUGUCGACCCACGACUUCAGCCAAGGAAAAAAUCUUGAAUGAGGUUUUGCCUGUUUUUCUCCUGUUGUGAAACAAAUGAGAAAUAGAUUAACCCGUUCUUCUGAACGUCAGGCGACCCGGGUAGACGUAUUAAGAUAAUUUACAUGAGCACUGCGGGGGACUCCUGACGACCACUGUCCAGGCUUCAUUAAAUGAAUGUUAUAAUGUACUUUUCUAAUUUCAGUCCCCCCUCCCUAUCAUGUCAAUCACGUUAUUGAACACUGACCCUACUGUCACUAAAUAGCAAUGAUGUAACGUUUGCUUGAGCUCACAAGAGAUACAAUUAACAGGUUGUUUUAUUUUAAAGAAAACUUGAUACAGUGUUUAUUUUACAUUCUCUAAAGAUUCACAAUGAGAAAUAUCUGCGCAUUGAUGGGAUAAUGAUGUAAUUUUCCCA